GACGAACGCUGGCGGCGUGCUUAACACAUGCAAGUCGAACGGAAAGGCCCUGCUUUUGUGGGGUGCUCGAGUGGCGAACGGGUGAGUAACACGUGAGUAACCUGCCCUUUACUUUGGGAUAACUUCAGGAAACUGGGGCUAAUACCGGAUAGGAGCUCCUGCUGCAUGGUGGGGGUUGGAAAGUUUCGGCGGUUGGGGAUGGACUCGCGGCUUAUCAGCUUGUUGGUGGGGUGGUGGCUUACCAAGGCUUUGACGGGUAGCCGGCCUGGGUGGCUGACCGGCCACAUUGGGACUGAGAUACGGCCCAGACUCCUACGGGAGGCAGCAGUGGGGAAUAUUGCACAAUGGGCGGAAGCCUGAUGCAGCAACGCCGCGGGCGGGAUGACGGCCUUCGGGUGGUAAACCGCUUUCGCCUGUGACGAAGCGUGAGUGACGGUAAUGGGUGAAGAAGCACCGGCUAACUACGUG
rnacentral:rRNA from 1 species